rnacentral:lncRNA from 1 species
AUAAGGAAUGGUAAUAAUUGGGAGACAGAUACAGAAAGAAAAAGAAAUAUUAUUUCCCAAUAAACCUCUUAGGGUGUCAUUUGCGAUCACGGGCAGAUACUAGAAACGCUACUCGUUAAAUCCACUGAACGUUACUUUUUCAGAAGUCGAAAUGUUUCUAGCCAAACUGCUUACUCGAUGGUUGCUUCGGAUGAACCAGUUCGAGCCAGGGCAGCCCAAGGAGAGAAGGAAACAAUUAAAACAUUCACGUAUUUGAUUCUUGAUAGACAUCUCUACAAGGUAGGUUUUAACUUUUUUUUUUUUUUCUUCUCAAAUUUUUUUUUUUUCCUUCUCUCUCUCUCUUUUUUUUUUUUUUUUUCAGUAAGAAGGAUAAGCUUGGAGUGCCCAGUCACCGUGGUAACUGCCAGAAAAAUUCUCCUGAAGUUUGAAGAGGUCAGCUAACGGGGUCAACAACUCUGGCCUCUCCCCGCGCUGGGGCUGGCAGGCUCCAUCCUGCGGCUGGGGCGUUAGCGCAGGCGGAGCCCUGGGAGGUGGACCAUUCCAGCUCUGAUAUAAAUUUUUUGAGUCAGUUCACGGCCUGGACUCUCCAGGUGGCCUCCAAAAUCGAUGGUGACCCCGUGACCCUGUCUAACGGAGGCAUAGCAUCCAACCUAAGUAAGGAUUUAGCCAGGAACGACAGCUUUCCACUGAGUGUUAUUGGGGACAGUACAAACAGUUUUGGAAGCGAGGAGCUCGGCCCCCUUCGGAACCCCAUUUCUGGCAAUCUCAGCAACACGUGGGGCUCUGGCAGCUUCUGCCGACGUUGCCAUCUUCCCUCCACCGCUCCUUCUUCUGCGCGGCGUCACCAGCUCCCCAGCCAGGCCAUUCCCAGGAGCCCCAAAUUAUGCCUUUCCUCCAUCACCUGCCCCACGGCUCUUCCAGAACCAGAUGCUCUUGUCCGAGUUGUUUCAAACCCUUCUAGGAAUAGACACUGAAAUGAAGGCAGGUGAUGUGGUGAUGGGGGGAGGUUCGGACGCUGCCUUCCUGCCCUGCCCUGGCCACAUGGCUGACCUUCCCCAGCGCUCGGCUCUUUGCCCGUAGAAUAAGAAUAAUAAUAAUAACAACUUUUAGCAAAGUUGCUUUUUUAGGUGUCUGAAAGAUGUCAGGCCGAUUAAAAGCUACUCAGAUUUUUUUGUCAGGCCUAACUCUGACUUACACUCUCCACCCUCCCCACUGCUGUCUUUCAGCUGCUGCAGAUUUGCCGAUGAGCCCUUUUGAGGCAGGUCCCUGCUUCGUGCCUCGCGCCAUUUGGGCUUCUAAACCAGCAGAAGCGGUUCCUCCGGCUGGUGAGUUGCUCCUGUAGUUUCCCGUUAUGCAACCCAUCUCCUUUUUGUGAAGCUGUGAAUUUUACAGCUGUCAGUGUCAGCAGCGGUGGG